UGAGGGAAUAUUUGGGGUCAAUGGGCGGAAGCCUGAACCAGCCAAGUAGCGUGAGGGAUGACUGCCCUAUGGGUUGUAAACCUCUUUUAUAAGGGAAUAAAAUACGGGACGUGUCCUGUUUUGCAUGUACCUUAUGAAUAAGGACCGGCUAAUUCCGUGCCAGCAGCCGCGGUAAUACGGAAGGUCCGGGCGUUAUCCGGAUUUAUUGGGUUUAAAGGGAGCGUAGGCCGUCUUUUAAGCGUGUUGUGAAAUACUGUCGCUCAACGACAGAGGUGCAGCGCGAACUGGGAGACUUGAGUGCGCGGAAUGCAGGCGGAAUUCGUCGUGUAGCGGUGAAAUGCUUAGAUAUGACGAAGAACUCCGAUUGCGAAGGCAGCCUGCAGUAGCGUAAC
rnacentral:rRNA from 1 species